UCAUUGUGGUUCUAAUUUGCAUUUCUCUAAUAAUCCAUGAUGUUUUAUGAUCAUUUUGCCAUCCUUGUUAAGUGACUCUUCAAAUCAUUUAUUUUAAAGUGAGAUUUAUGUAAAUAUAUGAUCAACUUCUUCUUCCCACAUGUGCCUCUUCCCAGGGACAGCUCACACAUGGCAUCUGGCUUUUCUCAGAGCAAGUUAAAAUGAGUAUCAAAAAUGGAAGCCAGACAUUUUUUGAAACCUAAUCACAGAAGUGAAAUACCAUUACUUUGACUAUAUGCUAUCCUUAGAGAAAUUAACUCUAAACAAUACUUAAGGUUGGAGAAUUUACCCAGAUAAGAACAAGAGGAAGCUGUUUCAAAGGCUGCCUACUGCACUCAUACAAAUAUCAUUUUAUUUGAUGUGUGUUCUUUUAGAUGUGUGAGGCCCUGAGUUCAAUCCCCAGUGCAAAAAAAAAAAAAAAAUACAUUUCAUCUUUUCUAAACUCUAUGUGUUCUCUUAUUUCUGAUUAACUAUACUGGCUCACACACUCAGUAUAAUUUUGAAAAAAAAUGGUAUAUUCUUGCCUUGUUCCAAGUUUUAGGUGUAAAGCACCUGUCUUUCACCUUUAAGAAGGUUUUUUUAAUAUGCCCUUUAGUGGGCUCAGGAAAGUUAUAUUUUAUUCUUAGAUUUGAGGAGCUUUUAUCAAGAGGGGAUGUCAAAUAAUGCCACAAAUUUUUUCUGCAUAUUUUGCAUUGAAGAUAGGGAUUUGUUAUUGUGCCAAAAUAGUGAAUUAGUUUUCAAGUGUUAAAACAAAUGAGGAUUUCUAGGAAAAAGCUCAAAUGGUCAUAAAUCAUUUAAGCUUAUUUAUAUUGAAAAAUUUGAUUUGCUAAAAUUUUGUUAAAGAUUGUAUUUAGGGGCAUAUGGGUCUAUAGUAUUUAUUUUUAAAAAAACAUGUGUCUAAUUUUGUAUCAGAGUAAUACUGGCCUCAUAAAAUGAUUUGGGAAGUGUUUCUCAACUAAUUUCUGAUAGAACUGGUGUUAUGUUUUCCUUAAAUAUUUGUCAGAAUUUACCAGUGAAGUGUGGAGUUUUCUUUGUGGGAAGGUUUUAUAAUUACAAACUGAAUCACUUUAAUAGA
rnacentral:lncRNA from 1 species